rnacentral:misc_RNA from 1 species
AUUCAAAACAUAAUGGAAAGAGGAAACUAGAGGACUUGGAAGCUGAUAAGACGGACAAGCAAGCAGACAAACAGGACAAGCAAGCUGAUAAGGAAGCCAAUAAAGCCCCUGAUAGUUGGUUUGAAUUGAAAGUUAACACACAUGUUUAUGUAACUGGGUUGCCUGAUGAUGUCAUGGCUGAAGAAGUUGCGGAGGUAUUUUCCAAGUGUGGGAUAAUCAAAGAGGAUCCUGAAACCAAAAAGCCUCAUGUGAAGAUCUAUGUUGACAAAGAGACGGGAAGAGUAAAGGGAGAUACAUUAGUUACAUAUUUGAAGGAACCAUCA